GAGCCGCGAUUUGAUUGUAUUAAUUUUAUUGCAUGUCCAGAUGGCGUUACAGACCGCUUUUAUUGUUUUAGGCCGUUGGCCCUCUAAUUGUUGCAUAGAGGGCAGGCCUGUAGUCAUUGAGUUUUAGGCCUGAAAUUACGGCCGUUUAGUAAUCGUCUGUAGCUGUCAGUUGACAUAUUGCGUCUUGACUUUUACUCUUCUUUGAUGUGAAUCUUUUGUGCUUUUCCGUGGCUUUUAAAGGAUAAGGAUUGCCCGGAAUUUCAUGUUGCCUGUCUGUAGACUUGAAUUGAGGUGCAUGAGAAGCACAUGUGGAAUUGGUGAGACACGUUUUAGAUUGUUGGUUACAUUAUGUUUUAUCCCUGGCUUGACCUAAUUGAAUUUGUAUGUUUAGACACUAUUUGUCUUCCCAUUGAGUUGAAAAGGCCUGCGUUGCAGGAUUGAGUAUUGACUCACCCAAGCCUGGUCACUUCCAGGUAUUCGUAAAGUGUUGUUCAUGUGAUUUGUGUCAUUAUCUUAAUUGUAUUUGUAUCGUAUAGGAUUGGUGAUAGCUUUUGAAUUGUUGUUUUGACACAGUGUGCCUUACACCCACACUUUGACGUGUUUUGAAGUGAAAUACAGUCCACUUCCUACCACCGA